rnacentral:rRNA from 1 species
AUACGGAGGAUCCGAGCGUUAUCCGGAUUUAUUGGGUUUAAAGGGUGCGCAGGCGGCCAUUUAAGUCAGCGGUUAAAUCGUGGGGCUCAACCCCAUUCUGCCGUUGAUACUGGGUGGCUUGAUUGCGGUCGAGGUUGGCGGAAUUCGUUGUGUAGCGGUGAAAUGCAUAGAUAUGACGAAGAACACCGAUUGCGUAGGCAGCUGACCAGACCGCAAAUGACGCUCAUGCACGAAAGUGCGGGGAGCGAACAGGAUUAGAUACCCUGGUAGUCCGCACAGUAAACGAUGAAUACUUGUUUUCGGCGAUAUAAUGUCGGAGGCAAAGCGAAAGCGAUAAGUAUUCCACCUGGGGAGUACGCCGGCAACGGUGAAACUCAAAUGAAUUGACGGGG